rnacentral:rRNA from 1 species
GACGAACGCUGGCGGCGUGCUUAACACAUGCAAGUCGAACGGAAAGGCCCUGCUUUUGUGGCGUGCUCGAGUGGCGAACGGGUGAGUAACACGUGAGUAACCUGCCCUUGUCUUUGGGAUAACUUCAGGAAACUGGGGCUCAUACCGGAUAGGAGCUCCUGCUGCAUGGUGGGGGUUGGAAAGUUUCGGCGGUUGGGGAUGGACUCGCGGCUUAUCAGCUUGUUGGUGGGGUAGUGGCUUACCAAGGCUUUGACGGGUAGCCGGCCUGAGAGGGUGACCGGCCACAUUGGGACUGAGAUACGGCCCAGACUCCUACGGGAGGCAGCAGUGGGGAAUAUUGCACAAUGGGCGGAAGCCGGAUGCAGCAACGCCGCGUGCGGGAUGACGGCCUUCGGGUUGUAAACCGCUUUCGCCUGUGACGAAGCGUGAGUGACGGUAAUGGGUAAAGAAGCACCGGCUAACUACGUG